rnacentral:lncRNA from 1 species
CAGACGGUCAGCAUCGGUUUUACCAGCCUUUUCUGAAUAAAUUUCCUGUUCUGAGUUCUGUGUGAAACAAAGAGCAGAUCAAUGCUGUGAGAACAGCAGCGAACUGUGACUUCCUGUCUUUUGUUCCCCAGAUAACGACUGGUCAGCGAUGCUAAUAGGUGUUAAUUCUUCUUCUGGUCUUCCAGCUGUGGCAUCACAGGAAGGCGACAGUCACCAGAACAAAAGCUGCAGCUCAGCUUUUUCUUUCCCACCAGCAGCUCUGACGGUGACAAACAUCUUUGCUGUGAAGUGAAAAUACCGAAGUUUCUAAUCUCCGAGAAACAUCUGGAGCGUUACAUCUCCUUCGCUCCCACUGCUCCCAAACCUCCCAGUAUUGAACCAGAUAAAUGGAAUUGUUGCAUGUCUCACAAAUUCUCCUGGUGAUUAUCUAAGCAUCUAAAUAAGGUAUUUUAUGACAGCAACGAUGAUGUCAAAAUGUGCCGUUUCCCUGAAAAAAGAAUAGUCUAUUGUUCACAGCCAGAGAGAAGGAACAAUUAGAAGGAAAACAGCUGGACCAGGUCUCCAGGACCAGUCUAGAAAGUCCGGAGGUGUCAGUGACCGAAGGCCUUCAAUGACCACCGUGGUGCCUUCAAUGACCCUCGUGGUGUAUUCAAACACAGAUUUGUAGAGGAAAGUUUUUUAGGAAUAUUGUCCCCCCCACCCCCCUCAACUUGGAUUAUGUGGGAAUAAUCUUGGCAGGAAAAGGAGACCCCCCCACCACCACCAUUGCUCCUCCUCCUCAUUUCUCUUUCUUUCUUUUUUUCUUUCUUUCUCUCCAAGUUCAUUCCCAGCUCAGUCAUUGAGGGCAUCACACCUCCUCUCUGCCCUUCUUUCAUCCAUCCAUUCCCUUUCUCAUCAUGUCUUCUCUCACUUUUCUGUCUGUUUAUCUAAGCGGAAUCUCACUGUUCCUGCAACUGACUGCUGGUUUCCAGCUUCAGAGUGAAGACGUCACUCCCACUCCCGACUAUGACUCUGACUACAAGGCCACCUUUGAUUACAGCUUCUUCAGUCAGUCUCACACACACACACACACACACACACACACACACACACACACACACACACACACACACACACACAGACACGGAUGUCCUACAGCUUACUUACAGGUGUGUCUUAAGGUAACGCCAGCAGUGAAGACUUGGACAAGUUCAGUGAACAAUUUGAGGACAUCACCGUUACCAUGGCAACCACUCCAGAAACAACAGAAAGGGGCAGGAUUAAUGUUCACAAUGCUGCACCACAUCCAGAGUUUCUGGAGGUCCGAACGCUUCUCUGGACUCUCUUGGUGCUGAUCACACAACAGCUGCAACACACACUCUAGGAGCAGCACCGGGUCAGCGGGUCAGGAGAAUUUAGGAGGAGUCAUCUUAAGGAAGCUUCUCUCUGAUUGGCUCCUUUCUCUUUUUUGUUUGAUCCUGAACCAAUCAGUGAGGCUCACCUGUUCCGAAGUGGGCGGGGCCACCGGCAGGUGUCCAGCUGGACAAGCCACACAGCUUCACGCGCAGCACAGUUCACCACGGCAACGUUUGGCACUGAAUCACUUUUUCUUCUAACCAAUCAGUUUCUGCCUCCUCUGGAUUAGUGGAUCUGGUGGAUUAACAUGGACGCUCAUUCACGCUAAAGAAAAGUUAGAGAGAAAAGAAAAGGAAGUAUUUUCAUGUGUAUGAAAUAAAUCUGAUCUUUGCACAUGAAUCUGACCUGAAAUCAGAAAUCUGUGAGAAGGCAGCGCUGUUUAUUACACACAAGCUGAUCUUUUAUUACCUUUACUCCAGUAAAUUAGCUUGGAUUCAGCUCUGUAGUUAACUUAUUUGUAAAAGCGUAUUGUUACACUUCUGUUCGACAUCAUAGUCAAUAAUGAAACAGUCAUAUUUAAGAGUUUCAAUCUUCGAUGUUUGAGGUUUAAACCUGUGAAAUUGCUGUUAAACUGUUCACCACUGACUCACAUGGAUGCUGCCAGUAACCGAACGUCUGAGGACCCUGGAAUAACGAUCCAUCAAUCAAUCAGCCAAUCGACUUCUGCUGCAGUUCAUCAAUAUCCAAUGAGUUUCCAGGAAAUAAUCAAACAAGCACUUUAUCUUUGCCUUUCACAAUAAAAUCUAUUAAAAGUUCUGAAUCAUUUUCUCCUUUUAACCAAUACAUUUACUUUCUCUGACCCAUUAGAACCAGUCCCCUGACCCUCUCUGACCCAGUAGAACCAGUCUCCUGACCCUCUCUGACCCAGUAGAACCAGUCCCCUGACCCUCUCUGACCCAGUAGAACCAGUCUCCUGAC